rnacentral:lncRNA from 1 species
AUCACAUCAUACAGCUAAUGUCCCAUAGAAUGGGUGCUGUGCAACAGUGUGUGUUCUUAUGCUUGGUCCUUAGCUGUUUUAAGAGGUCUCACGGAGAAUAGGGAGUUGACACCAUUGGCAGAACACGGCAAGGGUAUCUUACAGAGUCAAUUAUUAAACUUUCAGGAGAUGGAAAAGAAGGCUCAUUUCACCUUGGGAGAGUCAAAGUAUGAGAUGGUUUCUCACACUGGAUAGGACAAAGAAAUGGAGAAGCCUAGUCCAAGAACAUACAAGAAAUCACAAAGAGGACUCGGUGCCAUGUGGCAACACCAUUGUGAAAAGAAUAACAACGUCUAUUAGUAGAGGCCAUGGAGAAAAGAUGUGGAAUUGAAUACCAUCAGCCACUGAGUGGAGCUAAAGAGGUUAUUUCCCAGGACCUGCAUAAAAAGCCAAGCAUGGCAGCAAGCCUGUGAUCCCAGGGUGAGGAAGGCAGAAGCAGGCAGAUCCUUCUAGCUUUCUGGCAAGCCAAGCUAUCCUAAUGGCCUUCAAUAACGCCUCUGUCCAGUCUCCUGAGGCUCUGAUGUGUACACUGAAGAAGUCCUCCUGGGGAGCGGAGGUCCAGGACUGCAGAUGGGUGACUCACCACCUACAACAGAGCAAGAUAGCCAAGGGGAUUCUCACUCAGGUUUCUGCUUGCCCUCCCGACACUGCCUCUAAAGGACCUACUAUGUGCUUUCCUGCUAACAGAUCUAGGUUUCCACACUUGUUCCAGGCUUGAUUGACCUUCUACGGUUCUAAGCUUAAACUCAGAAACACAGAAACAUGUAAAAGCAGAAAUAGGAAUGCCUGUCCAUCUUCUUUCAAUGUGACAGUGAACGGUGGAGAAACCAUAAUAAAGAGAAAUAUGGCUAACUCCAGUUCUACGCUGUAAGCCUUUAUCAGAAUUCCGAAUAACAGCAUGGAGCUUUGAUCCCUGUCUCCAGUAAAAUUGGUCACACUGAAAGAUGCUCCCGAUACAAGCAAUUAUUAGACCAGAAGAUGAGCCUCUAAAUUACGGGCAGUUCUGCAAUAAAAAUGGCAAAUUAAAAACUUGGGCUAAUAAAAAAUUUUCA